rnacentral:lncRNA from 1 species
UUAGAGCCCUAUUACAGGAAGCCAGAACCAGGUUGUCUCUGACCCAAGACAUUCCCUUAAGAAUGCCUUCAGAUGAAAGAGGCAGAGGCAGAGGCAGACAGCCCCAGGGAGAAUCUGGGCAUCCACACUUAUUGCAACAUAGCAGGAUUCAGUGAGAACCAAAGAUGGAGCUGGGCAUAGGGGCACGUGCCUAUGAUCCCAGCACUCAGGAGGCUGAGACAGGAGGAUUGUGACUUCAAAGCCAGCCUGGGCUACAGAGCAAGGGCCCCAUCUGAAAGGGAAGGCAUCAACCGCCAGCCCCCAAGGACCUACUUCCGUCUGUCUGGCUGCUCUGAGGACCAACUCCCCUCCUAGACAUCCUCGCGGCCUGAAUGGCACCCAGCCAAAGCAGAGACGGUUAACCAUGUCCAGAGCUGGGUUGGGGGAAGCAGGAUCACACGACAUCCAGGCUGAGGCAGGGACAACUGCUGUCACCCUUCCUGCGCGCAUGGCUGUCAACCAGAAUGGAACUGACUACACCAAGCAUUGAUGCAGAUGGACAGAUGGAUGCCGGUGCCCUUCCCACUGGGAGUGAGAAGACAAAUGCCACAGUUGCUCAGAAAGAAAAGACAGCUGGUGGGCUUUCUAAAGAGCAAGUCACUAACUCCUAUCCCAGUACAAGUUGGAGCCCCCUCAUCUAAAAU